GAACAUUUUGCUUUAUGAUUUAUUCUUCCUUUUGGGAAAAUGAGGAUACCUUGGCUUCCUGAUCAAAGUAUAUAUAUGAGCACUUUAGGCACUUGGAAUAUGGAUAUCUUGCGUCUUGGGCUAAGGAGAAUUCCACUUCAAAAGAAUGGGAAAACAAUUGUAAUAUAUGGCGUUAAAGAUGAUAAAAAGGGUGAUUCCAGGCCAUAAAGGCUCUAAGAGGUGGGUCAUGCUCAUUAAUGAUACAUUACCUUGGGAUGUAGAAACUUUUAAAGGUAUUGGGAGGUUUUGCUUUGUUGGAAAGGAACCUAGUUGCUCUUUUUCUUGCAACAUAGGUUAGAGUCGAUUCUAGGAAAAAUCUUUGAAAAAGUGGGAUGUGUUUGUGUGUAUUGUGUGUAUAUGUGUGAGGGGCUG
rnacentral:lncRNA from 1 species